rnacentral:rRNA from 1 species
UCGGGAACUCCAGGGAGACUGCCGGUGAUAAACCGGAGGAAGGUGGGGACGACGUCAAGUCAUCAUGGCCCUUACGAGUAGGGCUACACACGUGCUACAAUGGCGCAUACAGAGGGCGGCCAACUUGCGAAAGUGAGCGAAUCCCAAAAAGUGCGUCGUAGUCCGGAUUGGAGUCUGCAACUCGACUCCAUGAAGUCGGAAUCGCUAGUAAUCGUGGAUCAGAAUGCCACGGUGAAUACGUUCCCGGGCCUUGUACACACCGCCCGUCACACCAUGGGAGUGGGCUGCAAAAGAAGUAGGUAGUUA